ACGGACACAUAAUUUUAAGUUUUGUCGAUUUUCGAUUCACUCACACACACAUACACAUAUACAGAGGCAUAAUAAUUUUUAGUACACAAAGACAUGCACACAACCACUCGUCUUUAUUGGGUUUGUUUUGUAUAAUUUCGCGGUUUUGUUCGUUGUAAUAUGUUAGCCACAAAAGUCAGUUAAAUUCAAGAACUUAAAUGAAAACGUAACUUAUUUUGGCGGUACAGUCAGAUGUCAAAUGUUCUGUCUCCAUGAAAGCACACACUUACAAAGUAACUUUAGGCCACUUUAGCUUUCGAAAUCAGUUGUGUUAACCGAUUUCCGAAGCAAUUUUCUAUAUUAGAACCCAACUAGAAAGAAAUCUGCCUGUCAUAUGAUCUAGGUCAGUCAAACAAAAAAAAAAACAAUGUAAAAAAUGUGAAUAAAACGAUUGUUUGACAUGCAGA